rnacentral:misc_RNA from 1 species
GGAAGAUUCAAGUACAGGCAUCUCUGGUACGAUAUCUAGAGAGAACCCAAGUUAUUACAUGGAGGCAUGACAUUUUAUUUAGACGGUGAGGUUCCUGGCCAGAAUUCCCUCAAAGGUAAUUCCAGGUCCAAAAGCAAGUAUCAGUCCCCAUUCACAACUCUCAUUUUUCUCCUUGACCUUGAAGCACUCUUCUAUCAUGUACUCCAGCACAUAUACAAUGGUAUUACUGCUAGCAUUACCAUAGUCCAUCAGAGCUCGUCUGCUAGCAUUUAGUUUCUCAGGCUGCAAAUCAAGUCUCUUUUCUAUCCUAUUCAAUAUCGCAGGUCCUCCUGGAUGAACUGCCCAAAACAACUUAUUGUACUCCUUUUCUAUCCUAUUCAAUAUCGCAGGUCCUCCUGGAUGAACUGCCCAAAACAACUUAUUGUACUC